AAUAGAUUAUUUAUUGACAUGAUAAAGUGACGGAUGAGACAUUCUUGGAUGGGAACAGUUUUUGGUGUGAAACGUUUAUAAGAAUAGUUGAUGAAAUUCAUAGAUGGUUAGUGUGUGUGUGUGUGUGUGUGUGUGUGUGUGUAGCCUACGAUACUCAUCUGUAUAUUGCGGAAACACCAAUUCAUGAACGAAGUGAGUUGAUGAGUAAUGGAUAAGUAACUGAAUAAACUUAGUAAACGACAUAACUACCCAAAAGUAAUAACUAGAGGAUUAUGAAAAGCUUGCUUAGUUGCCACUUGUCACUUGCCUUCGACACUUGGCACUUGCCUUCAACAGCGGCGGUCGAAGUGAUUGGCCCUGUGGUCUGGUAACUUGAUUUUGUAUUAUAUACACGUAAACCUCUCUUUCCGUAUACGUGUACGUGUGUAUAUUAUUUACUGUACUGUGUGUGCAGCAACAAAUAGGUAUGGAAACUUACAAAGGCUAGAACAAUGGACUAUUGUGUAUUUAUCCGUGAACUCGUCAUGUGUCUAUACUGUGUGGAAGAGAAGGCAAGAACGUGCAGAAGCUUAGGAAGGAAGGGGUGAAUGGAUGGACACGUCCUCACAUAUUAUAAGAGCGACAGCCUGAGGGAGUAUCAAGGAUAACUGUGCAAGAGGAAGUAUCGCCAUGUCAAGGACGGUGUCGUUAUAAGGCCGUUAUAAUGCUCUUGAAACAAGGUUGAAAUAUAAUCGAGAGUUGGUGGACAGCUUCCUGAUUUUCAAAACUACGGAGUGUUCCAUCCAUCCAUCUAUGUUAGUACCAUGACGUCUUCCUGGGCCUAUGUCAAACUCUGGACAUGGGCAUAGCCGACUUCACCACCGGCGGAAACGAAAGUCG